rnacentral:rRNA from 1 species
CCUACGGGAGGCAGCAGUGGGGAAUAUUGGACAAUGGGCGCAAGCCUGAUCCAGCCAUGCCGCGUGAGUGAUGACGGCCUUAGGGUUGUAAAGCUCUUUCGCCCGAGAUACGGUAGUGUGAGAAGAAGCCCCGGCUAACUUCGUGCCAGCAGCCGCGGGAAUACGAAGGGGGCUAGCGUUGUUCGGAAUCACUGGGCGUAAAGCGCUCGUAGGCGGAUAUUUAAGUCAGAGGUGAAAGCCUGGAGCUCAACUCCAGAACUGCCUUUGAUACUGGGUAUCUUGUGUCCGGUAGAGGUGAGUGGAACUGCUAGUGUAGAGGUGAAAUUCGUAGAUAUUAGCAAGAACACCAGUGGCGAAGGCGGCUCACUGGCCCGGACUGACGCUGAGGAGCGAAAGCGUGGGGAGCAAACAGGAUUAGAUACCCUAGUAGUC